rnacentral:lncRNA from 1 species
CUGUGAUUGUUCCAAGAACUAGCUCAGGAGGGGAGCUAGCUACUGAUUCUAGAAGUGAUGCUGCUGAUGUGGCACCUGUUCUUUCUAAGGCAACCAGAAGGGUUGAUCCUGCUACUGAUUCUAGAAAGGAAAGUACUGAUGUGGAACCUGUUGUUCCUAAAGCAAGCUCAAGAAUGGAAAUAUCCUCUGAUUCAGCACCUGUUGUUAUUUCCAAGUCAAGCAGAAGGCUGGAGUCUGGUGCUGAUUCCAAAAAGGAAAGCGCCGAUGCAGCAUCUGUUGUUGUUCCCAGGGAAAAUACAAAAAUGGAAAUGGCCUCUGAUUCUGCACCUGUUCUUUCAAAGGCA